AGGCGUCACACGUCAUAUUUCAACUGACACAACGGAGACGGUGGUAAAAGAGGGAAAAACUCCUUUAAAUUUCGAUUUUUUUUUAAUAUUAAAUCCCAUUUAUUUUGUAGUUAAUUGUUAGAUAAGGUCGUAAUUUCGUCAAGUUUUCGUUACAGGGUAAGAUUUCUUUACCAUAUACAGUAUUUAUAUUGGUUCAAGUGUGCAGUUUGAUAAGGUUUGUAUUUCCUUUGUAUAGGAAAUUUGUUAGCCAUAUUUAAGUUAGUACAUUUUGGUAUCGUAUGUAAGCUUCGCUUUAGUUCAAUGUUAGAGUAAAUGUAUAAGGUUUUAGAGUAAUAUUAAUAUACUCUUUCAUCCAUACGCAGCGGGUAAAGUGCGCAAGCUCAUACGGCCGUUUCUCAAGCGGAAGGCUGCAGCCUCUGGAGGUCGCAUGUCUUAUUUCAGAAUAUUAACAAGUAUAAAGUUGACUAUUAUUCUUAGUUAAUCGUAAAUUGUUGUAAUAUGCUUAUGACUUGCGAAUGUAAUGCUCAGUUAACUUAAUAAACCAGGCUUGAUGACGUAUACAGCCUGCCUAUGCGACCUCCGGAGGAUGCAGCCUUCCGUUUGAGAAACGGCCUACAUGUGUACCGAGGGCGAGCGUGCACGAAAUUCUGUCUGAAUUGAUUCUUCAAUAAUGGCAAAGCAAACAUUUACUGUCGUGAUGAUUAAACACAUUUUAACGUUUAAAUUAAAACUCCUACCUUUCCAGGGGUUUCUGUUCCUGCAGUCUUCCAGUGACACUUCAGUCGUACUGUGUGUGUACUUGCUUGCCGCGUAUGACGAUACGGACACAAACAAUAUACCGCCACCUACUGUACUGUAGUAAAAUGACGUGUAUGAUUGAAUACUGUGGCACAGGCAGUAAAAAUAGCCCUGUAAGGGCGCAGUCACACCAAAAGCGCUUUAAACGCUUGCAAACGCAAGGCGCGACGCACUGCCUUUUUUAAAAAAAGAGCAGUGCGGCGCGGCUUUUCAUGUUGCUAAGCAACCACCGAGUCAGCUGUCUUGUCAAUCAAAUAUUGAAGCGUGAGCGCUCUUUUGCUGUUAACUGUCAUAUUAGCAGAAACUUUAAAAAGAGGACGCUUGCUCUGACCUUGUUUGAGGGUGAGAGAUGCAUAAACACGCAGGAGAGAGUGAGCGAGUGGAGUCCGGUUCUUCAAAGCAACUGUAAACUUCACUGACCACAACGUAAGGCCCGCCUCUCCCCUCAUUCGAUUGGACAAUGGAAGACGCGAAUGACGUCAGGCGCUUUCUCCGCUCUCAGCGCUCCUUCAAAAACGCGUGCGCGACAGGCGGCAGAAAACCGCAAGGCGCUCGGCGCGCAUAAACAGCGCGCAAACGCGCCCUGCCCAUAGAAUAUCAUUCAAAAAAGGCGCCUGCAACUGCCAUAAACGCUUUUGGUGUGACUGCAGCCUAAGUCAUUGUAAAAAUUGGCUAAAUCACCAAAAUAAGUUUGUAGAUGUGGUUCAUUAAUUUUUCAUAACUAUGCAGCAUAAUGAAUUAGCCUGAAUUUAUUUAGCCUAUAAAAAUAUCCUUUUUUUAAACUUUAUUUUUAAACCUUUAUAUGCUUUUAUAUGGUAUAUGGUUAAACCCUUAUAUGGUAGCAUACAGUUCAAUUGAAUAAAAAUCUUAAAUUGAAUCAAAUCUCUUGUAAUAAUAAAAAAGCUCUUAAUUAUCUGCGAGGAUUGGGGGUACAUCUGGGUAACAGUUUAACAUUUAAGCAGCUUCCUUUUUAUAUUAUUUUACAUAAUUUGAUGUGUAUAUAUAUUAACUUAUCUUUAUUUAGUUUUCUCAGCCUUUAAACAUCUGAUAAAUGUGUACUACAAAAAGGUAAGUUCAGCACCAGAUCCGCUUAUGUUAUACUGUAAUGACCUCUGUGUAUGACAUGUGCUAUACAAAUAAACUUGCCUUGCCUUGUAAGAUUGAUACUGGUUUGAGAAAAACUAAGAUUUAAACAACCAAAUGUUUCCAGUGCAACAUGAAAAAACAUUGGAAAACAAUUUUCAGCCUAAGGUUAGAUAAUGUAGCCAAUGGUCCUCUAUAAAUUUUGGUACAAUGGUACAUUUCCUUUGUGUACUGCAAGCUGAACUUACCGAUUUAUAUGGACUUUACUUACAGGUUUUCUGUGCUAUGUUGCUCCAUUUCACGGAGCAAAAUAAGUCUGAGGUAGCACCAUCCUUGUGGUUUGAGUGGAACAAUGGGGGUAUUGAGACCAAAAUGAACAAUGUGCCACUCUAGACAGCUGUGGACAAAAUAUGCAGUCAGAGUAUUUUCUCAAACAGAAAGAGAAUUCCAGGGCAAAAGGACUCAACAGAGAUAACAUUGUCAGUACACAAAACAAAAAGUUGGAAUGAUUAAGAAAAAUGCAUGUUUCUAUACAUAUUUUCUUUAAAUCCAAUUUUUUUCACCGGUCAGCAGGACAGUAAAUUAUCUGAAGGUGAAAUCAUUAUUAAAGGUGAUAUCAUUGUCAUUGCAUUCAUUGUUACAUAUGAUUUUAAACAGUGGGAAUCAUUGUGUAUUUUUAAUCAUUAUGUGAAUUAAUCAUUAUUGACAGCAAUUGCACAAGUGUAAGUAAAAACUUUAAAAAAGAUCCAACUGUUGAAUAUUUGAUUGUUAAAUGCUAAACGUUAAACUAAAGUGUACAUGGUCCAUGUUAAUGUUUUUAGUAUUAUUUUUUUCAUCUGAGGAGCCAGGUAAAACUAAAAGGUCACAAUAUGAUUUACUAUCAUAUUAUUAUUUCAUUCUGAUUUUUCUCCUGUUUUUUUUCUGAGUUAGAUGAGGAGCAACCAGUACAUCAAAGCAAAAAGAUGCUAUGAUAUUGUCUGAGGCACCUUAUUUUCCAUGUCCUUCACAAUCACAACUGCAGCACACCAGUCAAUUUCUGCCAUUCGAAGAAUCAGAAAGAAAUCUUGGAUUGGAGAAUCAUUCUGAAAGUAGACCAAAUUCAGGACAACAUCACAGCAGUGGUCGGAAAAACAUCAGUCAAUGAGCAAGCCAAGCUAACUUUCAAAAGAUGGUUAGAAGACAGCGGAAAGAAUUGACAUCGCAGAGACACGCACACACACGCAGCUGAAGCGAGUUUGACUGAGGCGCAUGGGAGAUCGGGCACCGUGCACGCACACACAAACAUGGAGCACAGCAUAAUUACAACUGUUGGAUUAAAAUAAAAGUACUUUGUGGUAUACAA